rnacentral:lncRNA from 1 species
GAUAAAUCAGAUCAAAAUAGUGAGAUCAUAACUCUUGACUGCGUUAUGCAGGCAUCUUGCCUUCGCAGAAUACAAACACCAUGUGUCUGCACCUCAGGCAGAGCUCAGCUCUAGGUCACCAUGCUUUUGAUGGGCUCUGUGGGUUUGCUGGCUGUGUGGAAAUGCCAGCUGAGCCUGGUGGGAAAACCAGACCUUGCCUCAGCAUCAGGGGAACUGUAUGUGUGGAAGUCCCAAACAAAGAGAUCAAUUUCUCCAAAACCUUUUAAGUGAUAUAUCCAAGUAGGGAAAUGUUGGGUAGAAAACCAGGCAUGCAGCAGCUUUUCUUAUGCUGUGUGUAUUUCCUCCCCAGUAGUUCUUGACAGGAUCUGUGAAAUGACUUCAUAAAGCCUUUCCCUGAGGUAAGAGUAUUCCUGCAGUGCAGAGAAACAGAAAGCUCUCCAGGAGCCCAGCAUGUCCUGCAUCGGCGUUUUGUGGCUGACUGCACAAUAGCAGAAACAUUUGAGAAAUAUGAAAAAAACAUUCUCUAGGGCUUCAUCCCAUUGUCCAACAAAGAUACCGUCAGGGAUCUCACACCUGAACAGUCCUUAUGAUCACACAUUUAGAUUUUCUGUGAUUCCUCAGGGAGAUAAGAAGAAACGAUACAAGGAGAUAAUGAGGUAGUAACAGACAUCCCAUGAAGCCUUACCAGGUUGUCUUGGCUAUUUUGCUGGACCAUCCCUGUAAGGCUGCUCUGCCCUGCUCCUCUCUGCCUCCAGCAGUGCUAUUAAGGAAAGGAGGGAGCUCUGAAUUCCUGCAGUCUCUGGCUAGAGGUAGACCUUAUGGUCAUGAUACACAACGGAUGGCACAGCUGCCACCUCCAGCCUCGUUCUGAGUAUCACUUAACCACCUGUCCAGUAGCAGUGCUGCAUGACAGCUUCUUCCUUAUCACAACCUGCAUGAACCCCCACAGCUGCUUCAUGUGUAGAAAUUAAAAGUUGUCUGGGAAACAUUUCAUGUGUGGCUCUUUGUAACUGGAAAGGCUUGCAGAACUGUAUCAGGCUUGAGUGCAGUGCUUUUUGUAGGCUUUGGAAAUAAACAGGUCAUUAAUCCUAAAAAAGCCCA